rnacentral:rRNA from 1 species
UACAGAGGGGGCAAGCGUUGUUCGGAAUUACUGGGCGUAAAGGGCGCGUAGGUGGCCUUCUAAGUUGAACGUGAAAUCCCCGGGCUCAACCCGGGAACUGCGUCCGAUACUGGAAGGCUUGAAUCCGGGAGAGGGAUGUGGAAUUCCAGGUGUAGCGGUGAAAUGCGUAGAUAUCUGGAGGAACACCGGUGGCGAAGGCGACAUCCUGGACCGGUAUUGACGCUGAGGCGCGAAAGCCAGGGGAGCAAAGCGGG